rnacentral:rRNA from 1 species
GAUGAACGCUGACAGAAUGCUUAACACAUGCAAGUCGUUGGCGAAGCUGCGCUUGCGCAGUCUAGCCAAGGCGGACGGGUGAGUAACGCGUAAGGAACUUGCCCUGCAGACAGGGAUAACAGACGGAAACGACUGAUAACACCUGGUAUUGUCAGGCUGGCGCAUGCCGGCCUGAUGAAAGGAGACACUGCAGGAGAGCCUUGCGUCCUAUUAGCUAGUUGGUGGGGUAACGGCCCACCAAGGCGAUGAUAGGUAGCCGGCCUGAGAGGGUGAACGGCCACAAGGGGACUGAGAUACGGCCCUUACUCCUACGGGAGGCAGAAGUGGGGAAUAUUGGACAAUGGGGGCAACGCUGAUACAGCAAUUCUGUGUGCACGAAGAAGGUUUUCGGAUUGUAAAGUGCUUUCAGCAGGGAAGAAGAAAGUGACGGUACCUGCAGAAGAAGCGACGGCUAAAUACGUG